UAGGCAACUGAGGGAAGCUGGAGUGGAAAAGGUGGUCUACUCCAGGGACAAGCACACAAUUGGCUGUCCAGUGCCAGAUAAGCAUCCCUGAAAACAGAUACACAAGUAACUUUGUAUAGACUGAAUUGGUUAUAUUACGAGUCUGGAGUUAUUGAUACCUCUGUCAUAGAAGCUUUCCUGCUCAUAGCAGUAAGAUCAUGGACAUCCACAUGACUUCUGGCUGCAUCAUGAAACCUCAACAUGGUCCCCAGUGGCAGCAUGGACCAUGAACCUCCUUCGGCUUAUCUUCUUUAAAAACCUACUUUAAUAAGGGUUCUUAAACUCUUCAACCUCUCUUAUAGCCAACUCUCCAAAGGAAUAGAAACCCUGACUAAUACAACUAGCAAGGAGGAUUAGUGCCAGAGCAUCAUCCAAUAUUUAUUCAAUUCAACUAUUUCCAAGUAUCAUGUGUCCUCCCAAGCAUCCGCUACAGAAAAACAUCACAUCCUCUUCCACCAGACCAUUUCCAGAAAACCACCAUGUGUCUACUUCAUCAAAACAUCUUCUCAUAAGACACUUUCCAGAAAAACAUCGCAUGAUGCGUUUUUAAUGAAACCAGCCAUUCCCACUUCAGAUCUCAUUUUGGACCUCAAAAGCACAGAUGUCUUAUUAUACUAGAAUGAAGAAUGUGAGCUACAGUCAGUAUUUUGAUGAGGAGCUAAAUUCUGAUUAAGGUCUCUCUGACAAGGACUUAAAUUUC